rnacentral:rRNA from 1 species
UACGUAGGGGGCAAGCGUUGUCCGGAUUUAUUGGGCGUAAAGCGCGUGUAGGCGGCCAUACAGGUCCGUUGUGAAAACUCGAGGCUUAACCUCGAGACGUCGAUGGAAACCGUAUGGCUAGAGUUCCGGAAGAGGAGAGUGGAAUUCCUGGUGUAGCGGUGAAAUGCGCAGAGUAUCAAGGAGGAACACCAAUGGCGAAGGCAGCACCUCUGGGAACGUGACUGACGCUG